rnacentral:misc_RNA from 1 species
GAUGAAGAACGCAGCGAAAUGCGAUAAGUAGUGUGAAUUGCAGAAUUCCGUGAAUCAUCGAAUCUUUGAACGCACAUUGCGCCUUCUGGUAUUCCGGAAGGCUUGCCUGUUCGAGAGUCAUUAACAACCGUUUCGAUCCCUUUCUUUCAGAAAUUACAAAGAGGAAAAGGGUUUGGUAUGGUGGAGGAGGGAAAGGGAGCGUUUAGCCUGUAAAAAAAGAGGCUGUGUUCCGCCUACCCCCCAAAAUUGUACAGGCGGUCGUGUGCGCCCACGCAUCGAGGUGUUGUAAAAGCUGCCACGGCACUUUUCACCUGUGCAGUGCGAGAUUGGCCAGCCGGUUUAAAAACCCCUCCAAACAAUCAAAGGUUGACCUCGGAUCAGGUAGGGAUACCCGCUGAACUUAAGCAUAUCAAUAAGCGGAGGA